GCUCCUGUGGUUUAGUGGUUAGAGCCACCACCUCGGAUGUGGGAGGUUGUGGGUUCGAUACCGGUCGAGUCAUACCAAAGACU